rnacentral:snRNA from 1 species
AAGAUGAUAACAGACAAUAGAGUU